GUCGAGUCGAUUACCGUCUUGAGCUUUCCUUCCUUCACCAACUUAACAAGAUACUCAAGGUUCUCAGCCUUGACAUCAGCAAACAGCGGCACCAGCCGCUUCUUCGAGAAGGAGAGUUUCUUCAGAGCAAAAGUAAGAAAGGCACUUGGACCGGGAGUGAUUGCUAUGACCUUCCCGUUGGAACUCAAAUUAGGCUCAAAAGUUGACCAGGGAACACCGGUACUGGUUGUGCAGUGGACCACGGCAUCAUAUUUCCGACCAGAUGGGCUCUUCAGAGCUGCUCCUUCUGGGGUCUUGUAGUCAAGAACCUCAUCUGCCCCUAAGCUCUUGACAAAUUCAACGUUACGAGCUCCACAAGUGGCCGUAACAUGAGCAUUACCGAGCUUGGCUAAUUGGACUGCAUACUGACCCACACCGCCAGAGGCAGCAGUAAUCAAUAUGUUCUUUUGCUGGCCACUUCCGUCAAGCUUGACCCGAGCAGCUUGCGUGAGACAUUGGUGAGCUGUGACGCCAGCAAUAGGUAAGCCUGCAGCUUCAGCUGCUGAAACUUCUGGUGGCCUGGCCGCUGUCAUGUUCUCAUUAGCUGUGGCGUACUCAGCCAGUCCGCCUCCAAUCUAUCCAUAUGUAAGAUGACAACAGAAAAUUGAGGCAUAGAUAUAACAAACGAGAUCUAAAUGCUAAACUUCUUAUAUGCACAAUGAGCUAUUCAAAAAGGGGAAAAAGUAACCAAAGGAUUAAGAUGAACACUCACAGCAGCGGUCAGAUAUGCCACAACUUUGUCGCCCGGUUUGAACUUUUGGACGCCCUCUCCAACUUUUACAACCUCUCCAGCAACAUCAGUAACUAUUUUCAAUGAUAUCAUUACACGAUGUCAACAAACCAACCUACCAGCCUAAGACUCUCAGACAUGAAUGCAUAAACCACAAAACAACUCGUCUCGCAAUAUAGGAGCAAUAUCUCUCCAUUUUAAAGUCAAAGCAUAAAUUUGUUUCAUAAUCCAGCUAAUUUAUCUACCUCAAAACUAUCCAAAUACUUCAAUGUAUGAUGAGUGUUUUAUUAACAACAUGAACUAAUCUGUAACCAUUAUGCCCAAUUCUUUAAAGAGGGCAAUCUCUUUGGGACACCGAGUAGAGCAUGAUUUUGUUUCAAACGCCGUAGUAAUUAAUCAACAUUAGGUAGCUUUAUUAAUCAGUUCAAUGUUGUCGUAAUUAAUCAAAUUUAGGUAACUUUACUUUAUCAUCAGUACAUUGCCUGGCCUGCGGCAGUUUAUAUGACACGAAUUGAUUUAUGAAGGAUCCUCAAACGUUAAUUGACUGGAACAGGGUGAUUAUUGAAGAAUUUAACAAACCUAAGUAACUAAACUUCACCAAAUUCUACAGGCAGUGAAAGAAAAUUUGCAAAACAAGCACUGCAUAGUCAUAUGAGGAAAACUUUUGAAAAGGAGGCAGGUAAAAAUCUCGAGUCUUUAGUUAUUGUCGAGAGAUUUUUCAAGGUGCCCAAAACACAGGGUGGAAGAUCACAUGUUAUUAUACAAUUGGAGGAAAGUUUUUUUUUCUUUUCAAAGUGUUGAAAUGUGAUGUUCCGUCCUGUGUUUCAAACACACUAAAAAAUAUGUCGUUAUUGUCAUUGUAUAAACAGUUUUUACCAACAUCAACUUCGAAUACUUUGAACAGGUAAAAUACACUAGUACAAAGGCCUUGUUUGGCUUCGAGGGCUGGACAUGAAUAAAAAUGGAUGUCAAACUUUUCAAAUGUUUUGUAAGUUUAAGGUAAAAGAUGGGUUAUUCAAGUAGGAAACCUAAUCAAUUUUUUAACUUCAACUGAAACAACAUUUGGGAGUUGUUGACGUGCAUUUCUCUUUUAUAACAUACAUUAGAAUGUAGAGUUAUCCCUUUCAAGUUUCAACUCAAUCUUAGAUACCAAAUAAAACAGGUCAAAGUUCCUACCAAGGUGAUCAACUUGAUUACUUACCAGGUAUAUGAGGAAAUUUUUUGGGCAAAAAAGGUCGUGCCACGCCUUUCUGAAUUUUCCAAUCCAGUGGGUUUAUACUAGCUGCUUCCAAUUUCAGCAAAACCUCGCCUUUCUUCGGAGUGGGUAUUGGAACCUCUGCAUGCUGCAACAAAUUUCAUAAAUAAAAUACAGAUACAAAAAUUAUAAAACUCUACUUUUUUUUCCGUUAUAGAACUCGAGUUUUUUUGUUUCAAGCCAACGAACAUUGAGCACUUCGUAAAAAAAAAAAAAAAGAAAGGGAAAAAUGUAACAGAUAAAGAAAAAGGAACCUGUAAACCAGAAGCUCCUCCACCAUAGCGGACGUACUGCACCGCAUGCAUAAGCUUGGGCGCCAUGCCUGCCAUGCAAACCCUAGUGGGAACUGUUAAAAUAUUAAUGUUAAGUUGCUAUUUAUAUCAAUCUCUAUACGUAAAGCCAGCAGGCCAAUAUAUACAACCAGAACCAGGACAUGCUUGUUGAGAAAAGUCAGAUAGAUGAAAAGUCAAGCCUUGAAGAAGAAGAAGUUGGAAGUCAGAAUUUGCAACUCUCUACAAUAAAAGGUGAUGAAAAGAAAAUUCACAAGUGAGAAAGUACGAACUGAAAACUCUCCACCACCACACAAACGACGGCAUUAGCUGUGUAGGGGGCCAUAUGAUCAGAGAGGCGGAACGAAGAGUCGCCUCCCGUGUGGUGAGAGAAAAGUCUUCACCAAAUAAAAGCUUGUAAAAGAGAAUUUUGGCACGGAACAAUCAGAAUCUAUUAACAAGAAAAUGUGAACAUUAGAUCCCAAACCUUAUCAUUUACAAUACAAGACCUACACAUCACUGGAAGAUAUAACAAAUGACACAACUCUAGAUAAGUGCAUAAUGUUUGCAUAUCCCAUUAAAAACCACUAAGAUGUAUCUUGUCUACUUAAGGCUCGACAAUAAUCUUCCCAGUCGCAUGUCUAUCGAUACUCUUAGCCCAAGCGUCUUCAGCCUUGCUCAGAGGAUGUGUCGAGUCGAUCACUGUCUUGAGCUUUCCUUCAUUGACCAACGAAACUGGAUACUCCAAGUUGUUGAGGAAAAUUAGAGUACACAACCCUAACACAAAUAUUGGAGAGACAAAACAAGUAAACAAAUUAUUUGUAUUACACUCACAGAAUAUUACAACACAACAACUAUCAAGGGCAUAACUUAGAAGCUAUGACACUCUCUUUUUCUAAAGACACACUCUAGACCACUCACACUCUUCACAAAACUACUCACUCACAAGGCUUCUCACUUUCUUACUUAGCUCUCUCUUAGUUUCUAGUUUCCUCUCUUACUUUCUUACUUCAUUACUACUUACUUUUCUUACUUUCCACCAUUACAUAUUUAUAGGCUUGCUAAACCGACUUACUAAGGGGGUGGUUUGAGAGUGAGGUGCUUAAAAAAAAAGCACCCAUGAAAAAAAGCUGUGAGGGUUUUAGGUGUUUGGUAAACUGAAAAAAAAUGGCUUAUUUUGGAAGCUGCUGUGAGAAUAAGCUGAAAUCAAAGGAAAAAGCUGAAGCUGCUAUUUGCAGCUUUGGAAAACUGGUUUUUUUUUCAAAGCACACGGAGCUACAGUGCUCCUUUAAUGAAAAGACCCACUAUCAGACUUUUUUUUUUUUCCAAAAGCACUUUUACAAAAAAGUUUACCAAACACUCUGCUGAUUUAUUUCACAACCGCUUAUUCUCACAGUAGCUUUUUUUUCAAAGUACAGCAAUACCAAACCAGUCAUAAAUCGGUGAAAUGGACUCAUUUCAUCCUAGCCAUUGUUCUAGACUUUUCUACAAACAGCCCACUGACAUGGGCUGUGUUUAUGACCACACAUUUGUUACAAUAGCUAGAAAAAGAGAGUGUCAUAACUUUUUAAGCUAUGUGGUCUAGCUUAUGUAUGCUUUUUACUUUGAUUUUUCACCAUGGGGUAAACUUUAUUCUUUGGGCUCUUUGGGCUCGUGUUGUACUUUUAACACAAGUUCUCAGCCUAAUUCAAGAGCAGUGGCACCAGCUGCUUCUUUGAGAAGGUGAGCUUCUUCAGAGCAAAAGUAACCAAGGCACUUGACCUUCCCGCUGGCACUCAAAUUAGGCUCAAAAGUUGACCAGGGAAUGCACAGUGGACCACAGCACCAUAUUUCCGACCGGAUGGGCUAUUCAGAGGAGCUGCUCCUUCUGGGGUCUUGUAAUCAAGGACCUCAUCUAUCCGUAAGCCUCUUGACAAAUUCAAUGUUAGAAGCUCCACAAGUGGCUAACAUGAGUGUUUCCGAGCUUUGCUAGUUGGACUGCAUACUGACCCACACCACCUGAUGCAGCAGUAAUAAAAAAGCUCUUUUGCUGGCCACUUCCGUCGAGCUUGACCCCUGCAUUGCGUGAGACUGGUGAGCUGUGAGACCAGCAAUAGGUAACCCUGCAGCUUCAGCAUACUCGGCCAGUCCACCUCCCUUUUAUAUGGUAACAAAGUGAGGCACUGGUGAUAGCAGUGACAAACACAUGGAGACCGAACUUAACCAAAGGAAUAAAAUGAACAGGUACAGCUUGGGAAAGAUAUGCCACAACUUUAAUUGUCGCCCGGUUUGAACUUUUGGGUCCCUUCCAACUUCUACAACCUCUAGCUCCAGCAACAUCAGUAACUGUUUUCAAUAACAUCAUUGGUCAAUGUCAACAAACCAACUUACCAGACUCACAGACAUGAAUGCAUAAACCACAAAACAACUCAACUCGCAAUAAACACACAGCGUAUGCUUUAUGUGUGUUUAUUGUUCGCCUAUUUGUAGACUUAAAAGAGUUUAAGUUUAUAGACUUCAAGAGUUUUUCAUAUUCACAUCGAUAAGUAACUCCAAUGUAUAGGUAUUACACAUUGGCCCCAAGUAAACAGCCAAACAAUUAACAUAUUUACAAUAAUAACCCUUGGAUUAGUCUACCAAAACAAAGCUUGUAAAAGAUAAAUGUUUGCAGGAAAGUAUCAGAAUUAGCGUAUUGACAGGAAAAUGUGAACAUUAGAUCCAAACCGUAUCAGUUGCAAUACAAGACUGAAGACCAACACAUCAUUGGAAGACAUAACAUAAGGCGCACAACCACCUGUAUGAGAUAACUCUUGUUUAAGUACAUGAAGAUAUAGUUUACAUUCCAUUAAAAAUAUCAGUAUGAUGUUACAUCUUGUCUACUUAAGGCUCGACGAUGAUCUUCCCGGUCGCAUGUCCACUGAUACUGUUAGCCCAAGCAUCUUCAGCCUUGCUCAGAGGAUAUGUCGAAUCAAUCACUGUCCUGAGCUUUCCUUCCUUCACCAACUUAACGAGAUACUCCAGGUUCUCAGCCUUGGCAUUCAUGAGCAGCGGCACCAGCUGCUUCUUUGAGAAGGUGAGUUUCUUCAGAGCAAAAGUAACCAAGGCACUUGGACCGGGAGUAAUGUCUAUCACCUUCCCGUUGGCGCUCAAAUUAGGCUCAAAAGUUGACCAGGGAAUGCCGGUUGCACAGUGGACCACGGCAUCAUAUUUCCGACCAGAUGGGCUAUUCAGAGCUGCUCCUUCUGGGGUCUUGUAGUCAAGAACCUCAUCUGCCCCUAAGCUCUUGACAAAUUCAAUGUUCCGAGCUCCACAAGUAGCUGUAACAUGCGUGUUUCCAAGCUUUGCUAGUUGGACUGCAUAUUGACCCACACCACCAGAGGCAGCAGUAAUCAGUAUGUUCUUUUGCUGGCCGCUUCCGUCCAGCUUGACCCCAGCAGCCUGCGUGAGACACUGGUGAGCUGUGAGGCCAGCAACAGGUAAGCCUGCACCUUCAGCUGCUGAUACUUCAGGUGGCCUGGUCACUGUCAAGUUCUCAGUAGCUGCAGCGUACUUGGCCAGUCCACCUCCCUUUUAUACGACAACAAAGAAAAGUGAGCCACAGAUGAUAGCAGUGACAAACAAAUGAAGAUAGGAUUUAACCAAAGGAAUAAAACGAAAACUUACAGCUUGGGAAAGAUAUGCCACAACUUUGUCGCCAGGUUUGAACUUUUGGACCCCCUGUCCAACUUCUACAACCUCUCCAGCAACAUCAGUAACUGUUUUCAACAAUAUCAUUAGCCAAUGUCAACAAACAAGAGUGUACAAACCACAAAACAACUCGUCUUGCAAUAUAGGAGCAUAAUUUGUUUCAGAAUGUUGCUAAUUUAUCUACCUCACAACUCUCCCCAACAACACGAAACUGAUCAAAUUCCGGUAAAUGUAUCAAUCAGUUCAACGCUGUAGUACUUAAUCAAACACCGGGAAAAACAGAAAUUACCGGGUGUAUAAGGGAAUUUGCGGGGCAAAAAAGGCCGCAACAUGCCUUUCUGAAUUUUCCAAUCAAUUGGGUUUAUACUGGCUGCUUCCAGUUUCAGCAAAACCUCGCCUUUCGUCGGAGGGGGGAUCGGAACCUCUACAUGCUGCAACAACCAUACAAUUUUGCAUAAACAAUUUAUUAAGGUAGCUCUCACAUGUACUACUUUCUCCAUGGAUUUUUAUUGCCCUUCAAAAUCAAGGGCACAUAUUCAAUCAACAUUGCAGCAUUUUCUCAAGAGUUAUCAUUCAUCUCUUCGGUUUUUAUUUUAUUUAUUUGGGAUUUCAGAGCCUAAUUAUACAAGUAAUACAUUUUCUUUUUACACCGAAGAGUAUUGAGCAUUAAUGAAAUCCCAGAAGCAAAAAUCACCAAUAAAAUAAGAAUAAAAGACAUGAGAAAUCUACAAAAUAAUGUUUUUACAGAAAAAUAGAGAAUAAAAAAGAAGGCGACAAUCGUAAAGAAAGAACCUUUAAACCAGAAGCUCCUCCGCCAUAGCCGUCGUACUGAACCGCAUGCAUAAGCUUCGACGCCAUUGCUGCCAUCCCCUGAGUCGGCAGAGAGAUAGAGAGGGGCGACAGAGAGUGCGUGUGUGUUUUCCUAGAUUCUUUGCGGGAGCGGCUUUAGACGUCUUGUAUACCAGACGUGGACGCACAGCAAGUUGCCAAGUGUUAUAUUAUUGUGAAUGACGGAAAUAACCUUUUAUUUUAUUAUAUUGAUGUUUCGGUUUUCGAUUUUUCUCGAUUUUUUUAUUACCAAAAUAUAAAAUUUGGUGUUUUAAGAAAAGAGAUUGUUAUUGGUACUUUAAAAAUCUAAUUUUGCACUCCAAACUUUCUAUAAUUAGAAAGAAAAAAACGCUUGUGAGGAGUGUAGAAUGAGAUUUAUGAAAUGUCCCUUAAGAAAUUCUAUGUAAUUCAAUGAAAUUAUAUGUAAUUAAAUAUUGAUCACUUAUCGAUAAAAAAGUAAAAACGAAGUCAAAUAUAUAUUGACCUUAAAUCGUUCAAAUACUAAACCAUUGUAUCCCACUUUUUCAGGGCCUAAAAAAGUGAGUAAUAUUAUUCAUACUAUAUUUUUGUACUACAUUUUCAUAUCAUCUUAAGUGGCAUUUGAGGUAAACAGUUUAUUUCUUGAAAAAUUAUGAUAAAAAAAUUGUAUGCGGAGAUUUAUCGAAAAAAAGAAAAUUGUAUGCAAAGAGUACUGACUUUUUAAUAUAGUAAGCUAACUACAAUUUACAUCAUAAUUUUACAAUUGUAUCAAUUUACAUCUUUUGAAUAUUUGAAUGUACUAAUAUCCAUUAAGUUGAUGAGUUUUUCAAUCAAUGUGGUGCAUAUAUAACUUACAAAUCAUCGCAAUUACGGAUUUCAUAAUUACCAUGUCAUCAACUUGAUGAAGAUUUAAACACUAACAAAAUGGUACAAGUCAAAAUCUUAGGGGGCAAUACGAAAAAAAUAUAGAGGGUGUAAAAUAUAUAUAGCCAUAAUAUAAUAGGAUGUAUGGGAUGCACACCCAACAAUACUUACUAUAAAAUGUACUUAACAAUAAAAUUAACAUUAAUUUAUAUCCAUACCUUAUCAUUUACAAUACAAACACCCACACAUCAAUGGGAGAUAAAAUAAAGCACACAUGAAAUUUACAUACCACUUAAGAAACACUAAGAUGUAUAUACAUGGGUAAUGCUAUCCACACACCUUUAUUUACUUUUCACAUACCCCUCUCAAUUUUCAACUGUCUAGUCGAGUGAAUUGAAGGUGAUCAAAAGACAGAAAUUAACAAAUGGCAUGUGAAUAGAACCACCCUGUCUCUUGUCUACUUAAGGCUCGACAAUAAUCUUUCCAGUCGCGUGUCCAUCCAUACUCCUAGCCCAAGCAUCUUCAGCCUUGCUCAGAGAAUACGUCGAGUCGAUUACCGUCUUGAGCUUUCCUUCCUUCACCAACUUAACAAGAUACUCCAAGUUCUCAGCCUUGACAUUCAGAAACAGUGGCACCAGCUGCUUCUUCGAGAAUGUGAGUUUCUUCAGUGCAAAAGUAGCAAAGGCACUUGGACUGGGAGUGAUGUCUAUUACCUUCCCGUUGGUACUCAAAUUAGGCUCAAAAGUUGACCAGGGGAUGCCAGUUGCGCAGUGGACCACAACAUCAUAUUUCCGACCAGAUGGGCUAGUCAGAGCUGCUCCUUCUGGGGUCUUGUAGUCAAGAACCUCAUCUGCCCCUAAGCUCUGGACAAAUUCAAUGUUACGAGCUCCACACGUGGCUGUAACAUGCGUGUUACCGAGCUUUGCUAGUUGGACUGCAUACUGACCCACGCCCCCAGAGGCAGCAGUAAUCAAUAUGUUCUUUUGCUGGCCGCUUCCGUCCAGCUUGAUCCCAGCAGAUUCCGUGAGACACUGGUGAGCUGUGAGGCCAGCAACAGGUAAGCCUGCACCUUCAGCUGCUGAGACUUCAGGUGGCCUGGACACUAUCAAGUUCUCACUAGCUUUAGUGUACUCAGCCAGUCCACCUCCAUUCUAUCCAUACAUAAGAUGACAAUGAAAUUGAGGCACACAUAUAAUAAAUGAGUUCUAAAUGUGAAACUUCUUAUAUGCACAAUUAGAUCUUCAAGACGGGGAAAAAGUAACCAAAGGAAUAAGAUGAACACUCACAGCAUGGCUCAGAAAUGUCACAACUUUGUCCCCCGGUUUGAACUUUUGCACUCCUUGUCCAACCUCUACAACCUCUCCAGCCACAUCAGUAACUGUUAAUAUCAUUAGACAACGUUAAAAACAAAAACCUACCAGUCUACAAACUGAAUGACAUUGAUAACUUAAACCAUCAAACACCUCGCCUUUCAAUGUAGGAUAGAUGAAUGCCAUUUUAAAAAUCAAAGCACAAAUUUACUUCAGAAUCCAACUGAUUCAAGCACCAGAAAAAUCAUUAAAAAAAAAAGCACCGGAAAAUUCUCCCAAGAUUACAAAUAGCAUAAAGUGUAAAUGAGAAGUUUCAUUGAAAACACGAUAUGAUCCGUAAACCAUUGUGCUUACUUUUCAAUAUUCACUUUUUAAAAAGGGUCUCUUCGGCAUGCCUAGUUUUUCAAUAAUGCAGUAACCAAUCACACCCAGUACCUUGUACAACAGUUAGCAUGUUUCAGCUUAUGAGACCAGUUGAAUGUUGUCUAGGUAUGUCAAAAAUUUAACUAGCCCGGUGCAGCAAACUUAUUGAAAGGCGAGUAGACUACACAUCAGUGGCAUUACCAAACACUAAUGACAAGCACUACGCUGUAAUGUGAAGUGAACAAACACGUCUGAAAAGGAGCAGGCACAAACUAGAAAGCGGGUUCUUUUGGUGAAAAAGGGGGCCUAGCCCAAACAAACUUCUACAAAUCUAUGCCUGGUAAGGCCAACCAAAUCUUCCAAUACAAAAAGAGGACGAUCAAUCAUUAUAAAAACAGAGGCCUUGUUUGGUGUCAAGCAUUGGACUCGAAGAGAUAACACACUUGACUGAAUGGAUUUUAGAACAAAAAACCGGAUGCCAGAUUUCACAUGUUGCCUAAGUUGAAGGUAGAAGAUUGAUUAGUCAUAGAGGAUUAAGUUAUCCUUUCAAUCCCCACAAAAAUGGUAGAGUUAAUUUUCCUCCAUGACUAAUCCUCCUUCUAACUUCAACUUAAACAACAUAUGAAAGUUGGCAUCCAUUUUUUCUUUGACGUACAUUGAACCUAGUAAGUUAUCCAUUCCAACCCAAUCCUAGACACCAAACGAAGGCCAAAGUUCCUACCAAUACGAUCAACUUCUCGUUUAUAACACUACAAGUUAAUCUGACUUUAUAACAAACAGAUCACUUAAAAUCUUAUUCAUUUUUCUAGAUGCUAUGAUUGGACUGUCAAAUUAUUUACUCAGGAACUCACAAGCACGCACAUAAUUACUGCUGGGAAAGUUCAAGAUUGAUUGUAACUUGUAAGAAAAAGAAUUUGGUCAAAUUCUUGCAAGCAAAGAAAGCAGAAUCAUUCACCAGGUAUGUGAGGAAAUUUUCGGGGGAAAAAAGGCCGAAGCAUGCCCUUCUGAAUUUUCCAAUCAACUGGGUUUAGAGCAGCUGCUUCCAGUUUCAACAAAACCUCCCCCUUCUUGGGAGAGGGGACCGGAGCCUCCACAUGCUGCAAAAAACAAAUUACAUGAAUAAAAUACACAUAAAUUCGAGAAGGAAAUAUCAAAGAAGGAAAAACAUAUGAGAUAGAUGUACAAAAUGUUAGACCAAACAAAUUUACAGAAUAACAAAAGGGGAACGUACGAGAUGAAGAAAGAAAAGCGAUAACCUUUAAAGCAGAAGCGCCUCCGCCAUAGCUGUCGUACUGUACCGCAUGCAUAAGCUUUGACGCCAUGUUGCCGUACCCUUCUGAAUCGGCAGAGACAGACGAGGGAGGAUUCAGAUUUGUAGAGAGAGAAGAGAGAGAGUGAGAGAGGGCGAGUUGCUAGAUCCUUGUGGAUGGAAUUUGGAUCCUCUCCUGAGCAGAAGGUGAGGAUCCAAGGUAUGUGGACCGUUAGAUAAAAAUCUAACGGUUAUAAUUAUUAUAAUUUUAAAGAAAUCCCUUAUUUGUAAUCGUUGGAUUUUCAUCUAACGACCUACAAUCCUUGAUCAGGAAGACCCUCACCUUGAGCUCAGGAGAGGAUCGAAAUCCCUAGGAUUGGGUUUUUGACAACGACACUUGGAAUUAUUUCAGUUUGCCACGUGUUGAACUAAGAUAAUCGACGGAAAUAACUCUCUGGUUUAUUGACUUUAUUCACUUGUAAAUAUAUCAUUAUAUAAAAAUAAAUUUAGAGUUGGUUGGAGGGUGUGGUGCUUUAAAAAAAAAUUAAAAAAAUUUAGACAUCAAAUGUGUUUAGUAAAACAAAAGAAAAUUGUUUCUUUUUCAAAAUUGUUGUCAAUAACAAUAAAAAAUAGAACUAUGGUCUACCAUGCUACUAUGCUUCUUGAAAAAGUUUUUUUUUUUAUUCAAAGCAUUGUGAAUAGUAUCUAUUUAAUGAAAAUUUCAAAUGAUAAGUAUACUCCUGUAUACUAUACAAAAUUACAAUUUUUAUCGCUGCAUUAUUCUCUUUGAUAAUUUUUAUAACACAUUGAAUGUUAUAGUCUUUGUAAUCAUUUAACAUGUUUACAACAUUUUUAUAUAAAAGUUUACCAAAUAUUUAAAUAUUAUUUUUUUGUUAAAAGCACUUUUACAAAAAAAAAAUUUAUCAAAUAUUCAACAACUUUAUUUUACAGCUAUUUAUUCUCACAGCACAACAUAAGUAUUUUUUUUUUCAAAAAACGCAACAAUACCAAACUAGCCCUUAGUGUUAGAGCUCGCCAAGGAAGAGUAACUCGAUUAGCCUAUUUCAUCUUACAUCUAUCAUAUUAUUAAUUUAAAUAGAUAAUCAAAAUCUUGUAAGUAUUUAUAAUUUGGACAAAAUUGACACCCAGCAAAAUCAUAAUAAAAUUGACAGGUAACAACCCCAAGGGGUAGGUCAAUGAGGGAGCAAAAGUUUAGAACUCACAACCUAAAACGUAGUUAACAUUGCCAACUGUAAAACGUAGUUAACAAUAAAAUGAACAUUAUUUAAAUCCAAACCUUAUCAUUUACAAAACAAACACCCACACAUCAAGGGGAGAUAUCAUAAAGCACAAAUGAAGUUUACAUACCGCUAUAAAAACAUUAAGGACUUGUAUGUCAUGGAUUGUGAUAACCACACCUCUUUAUUUACCAUUCACACAUCUUACUCAAUUUCCGACUGCCGGAUCUAAUGAAUUGAAGAUGAUCGAAUGAUGUAAAUAAAUAAAGAGUGUGUGAAUAGUAUCACCCUAUAUUUUGUUUACUUAACCUCGACAAUAAUCUUUCCAGUCGCGUGUCCAUCUACACACCUAGCCCAAGCAUCUUCAGCCUUGCUAAGAGGGUGCGUCGAGUCAAUCACUGUCUUGAGCUUUCCUUCCUUCACUAACUUAACAAGAUACUCCAAGUUCUCCGCCUUGGCAUUCAUAAGCAGUGGCACCAGCUGCUUCUUCGAGAAUGUCAGUUUCUUCAGAGCAAAAGUAGCAAAAGCACUUGGACCAGGAGUGAUGUCUAUGACCUUCCCAUUGGCGCUCAAAUUAGGCUCAAAAGUUGACCAGGGGAUGCCGGUUGUGCAGUGGACCACAGCAUCAUAUUUCCGACCAGAUGGGCUAGUCAGAGCUGCUCCUUCUGGGGUCUUGUAGUCAAGAACCUCAUCUGCCCCUAAGCUCUUGACAAAUUCAAUGUUACGAACUCCACAAGUGGCUGUAACAUGCGUGUUACCGAGCUUUGCUAGUUGGACUGCAUACUGACCCACGCCCCCAGAGGCAGCAGUAAUCAAUAUGUUCUUUUGCUGGCCGCUUCCGUCCAGCUUGACCCCAGCAGCUUGCGUGAGACUUUGGUGAGCUGUAAUGCCAGCAACAGGUAAGCCUGCACCUUCAACUGCUGAUACUUCAGGUGGCCUGGCUACUGUUAAGUUCUCACUAGCUGUAGCGUACUCAGCCAGUCCACCUCCAUUCUAUCCAUAUAUGUAAGAUGACAACGAAAAUUGAGGCACAAAUAUAAUCAAUGAGUUCUAAACGGGAAGCUUCUUAUAUGCACAAUUAGCUCUUCAAGACGGGGAAAAAGUAACCAAAGGAAUAAGAUGAACACUCACAGCAUGGAUCAGAAAUGCCACAACUUUGUCC
rnacentral:lncRNA from 1 species